AAAAUUUGGGAGGAAGAAAGAUGCAUAUAUUAUUUAGCCGAAACAUGAUAUGAUACAUUUAUGAUUGAUGUAUGAUUUCCAUUCUCUGGGAAAAAAGUCUCUUUUUUGCCAUACUUACUGCCCCUGUUGUCCUUCAGUGAUACAAUAAAGACUGCUUCUUCCACCAUUCUCUGGGAAAAACCCUGUUUUGCUAUGCUUACUACCCCUGUUGUCCUUCAGCAACACAAUGAAGACUGCUUCUUCCUCCAUUCUCUGGAAAAAAGUCCCUUUUUUGCCAUACUUACUGCCCCUGUUUGUCCUUCAGCGACACAAUAAAGUAUAUAUAAUGUAAUGCUUUAGAAUCCAUAUGCUGAUGUGCGAGAUGAAGUUGGAAUCCAUGGCGGCAACAGAGAAACUGUUUCCUUCCUUAAUGGAAGAAACUGCUAAAGAACAAUGGCAAAAAAACAGAAUUUACAAAAUUUGUAUUAACUUUUUGGGCCAGAUUCAAAAGAGUGGUUAAAUUUAUAAAAGUAUUUAGUAUCCUCACUGUAGUUUUAGGAUCCAGUAUACUUAAAAUGUAGUGUUUUGUAUAAGAUUUUUAGUUUUUAGUAUAAGCAUUUAUUUUUGUUAAUUUUUAUCUAAUCUCUCCUAAUAUGCAUAAUAACUAAAUACGAGGCAAACAAAUUAAUAAAUACGUUAGGGAUGUAAGGUGUAUUUUUUUUUAUAAGUAAAACUUGUGUCUUUUAAAGGCAUAAAGUAUAGAC